rnacentral:ncRNA from 1 species
UACCUGAUUGAUCCUGGCAGUAAUCAUACGCUUGUCUGAAAGAUUAAGCCAUGCAUGUCUAAGUACAUGCCGAAACAAGGCGCAACCGCAAACUUUGGUGGUCGUUUCGACAGGAAGCU